rnacentral:rRNA from 1 species
UACUCGAGUGGCGAACGGGUGAGUAACACGUAGGUGAUCUGCCUUGCACUCUGGGAUAAGCUUGGGAAACUGGGUCUAAUACCGGAUAGGAACCGUCUUUAGUGUGGUGGUUGGAAAGUUUUUUCGGUGUAGGAUGAGCUCGCGGCCUAUCAGCUUGUUGGUGGGGUAAUGGCCUACCAAGGCGGCGACGUGUAGCCGGCCUGAGAGGGUGGACGGCCACAUUGGGACUGAGAUAACUGCCCAG